UGAAUGGUGUUGUUCAAAUUG
rnacentral:misc_RNA from 1 species